UGCUCUAUUGCAUGUCUCCCUAUCUUGGGCUCUGUAGUCACACUGGUAAUGGAAAAUUAUAAAGUAGUGUAUUUUAUAAGUGAUAAAGGCCCGUGGAGGCAAUGCGGAUUUCAUACGCAAGCAGCCAAUGUUUUCAGUCUGCAUAUGAUUAUAUCAUGAUGGUUACCACUGGGGGGAUGCAGAAAGAGACAAUUUCAGAUGUGUGGACGAAUGGUGCAGAUGGUCUGCCUUUUUACGCAAAGUGCUGGAUUAGAGCCGCAGCAGUUUCACAGCUGUCUUCAUAGGGUGGCCCGGACGGUCACAUGAUGCAAGGGUUCUCGCCAACUCCGAUCUUUACAGUAUUGCUGAGGACAAGCUUGGUGGAUGGCUUUUCCCUCGAGAGAAAUCUGUGAUCGUACAUGGUGUGGACAUCCCGGUCCACCUCAUUGGUGAUGCAGCAUACCCAUUACAGCGCUGGCUAAUGAAGGGCUACACCCAGCAUGUUCACUUAUCCCCCGAACAGACAUCAUAUACCCAUGCCCUAAGUUCGGCCCGUAUGGCAGUGGAGAAUGCGUUUGGUCGUUUAAAAGGACGCUGGCGCUGCCUCAUGAAGAGGAAUGAUGUGGACUUGAAAAUAAUGCCAGAUAUAGUAGCAGCCUGCUGCAUUCUCCAUAACAUAUGUGAGAUUCAAAAGGAAAACUUUCUCCCCGAGUGGAAUGUACAUGAUCAUGGGGCGGGGGUCACUGUACAUGAUGCACCAGGCUUGGUGGGGGGGGCAUGACGCUGCCAGCGAGUGCAUAAGGGCCACCAUUGCAGCUAAUCUUCAAACAAUGUUGCAGUAGAG